rnacentral:rRNA from 1 species
UACGUAGGGUGCAAGCGUUGUCCGGAAUUAUUGGGCGUAAAGAGCUCGUAGGCGGUCUGUCGCGUCUGCUGUGAAAACUCGGGGCUUAACCCCGGGCCUGCAGUGGGUACGGGCAGACUAGAGUGCGGUAGGGGAGACUGGAAUUCCUGGUGUAGCGGUGAAAUGCGCAGAUAUCGGGAGGAACACCAGUGGCGAAGGCGGCUACCUGGCCCAUUCUUGACGCUGAGGCGCGAAAGCUAGGGGAGCAAACGGG